AUACGGAGGGUGCAAGCGUUAUUCGGAAUCACUGGGCGUAAAGGGUGCGUAGGCGGUUUGAUAAGUCUGAUGUGAAAUCCUAUGGCUCAACCAUAGAACUGCAUUGGAAACUGUGAGACUAGAAUACUGAAGGGGCAGAUGGAAUUAGUGGUGUAGGGGUAAAAUCCGUAGAUAUCACUAGGAAUACCGAAAGCGAAAGCGAUCUGCUGGGAAGUUAUUGACGCUGAGGCACGAAAGCGGGGGGAGCAAACGGGAUUAGAAACCCCAGUAGUCC
rnacentral:rRNA from 1 species